UACGGGGGGGGCAAGCGUUGUUCGGAAUUACGGGGCGUAAAGGGCUCGUAGGUGGCCAACUAAGUCGGACGUGAAAUCCCUCAGCUUAACUGGGGAACUGCGUCCGAUACUGGAUGGCUUGAGUUUGGGAGAGGGAUGCGGAAUUCCAGGUGUAGCGGUGAAAUGCGUAGAUAUCUGGAGGAACACCGGUGGCGAAGGCGGCAUCCUGGACCAACACUGACACUGAGGAGCGAAAGCCAGGGGAGCAAACGGG
rnacentral:rRNA from 1 species